AGCGAACAUUGGCGGUAGGCUUAACACAUGCAAGUCGAGCGAGGCGUAAUAGUCGAGCGGCGAACGGGUGCGUAAUACAUGGGAAUCUACCCUGAAGUGGGGGAUAACGUUCAGAAAUGGACGCUAAUACCGCAUAAUCCACAUUGGGAAAGCGUUGCAGCGCUUUAGGAUGAGCCCAUGGCUGAUUAGCUAGUUGGUGAGGUAAUGGCUCACCAAGGCGACGAUCAGUAGCUGGUCUGAGAGGAUGACCAGCCACACUGGAACUGAGACACGGUCCAGACUCCUACGGGAGGCAGCAGUGGGGAAUCUUGCGCAAUGGGGGCAACCCUGACGCAGCCAUACCGCGUGAGUGAUGAAGGUCUUCGGAUUGUAAAGCUCUUUUAGCAGGGACGAUAAUGACGGUACCUGCAGAAAAAGCCCCGGCCAACUUCGUGCCAGCAGCCGCCGCAG
rnacentral:rRNA from 1 species